AGAGUUUGAUCAUGGCUCAGGAUGAACGCUGGCGGCGUGCCUAAUACAUGCAAGUUGUGCGGUAACAGAGAGAGCUUGCUCUCUGCUGACGAGCGGCGGACGGCAGAGUAACGCGUAGGAACAUACCCCAAACUGAGGGAUAACUGCUCGAAAGAGUAGCUAAUACCGCAUGUGGUCUUCGGAUUAAAGCUUCGGCGGUUUGGGAGUGGCCUGCGUCCGAUUAGCUAGUUGGUGAGGUAAUUGCUCACCAAGGCGACGAUCGGUAGCUGGUCUGAGAGGAUGAUCAGCCUGACUGGAACUGAGAACGGUCCAGACUCCUACGGGAGGCAGCAGUAGGGAAUAUUCCACAAUGGGCGAAAGCCUGAUGGAGCAACGCCGCGUGCAGGAUGAAUGCCUUCGGGUUGUAAACUGCUUUUCUGUGUGAAGAAUAUGACGGUAACACAGGAAUAAGGGUCGGCUAACUACGUG
rnacentral:rRNA from 1 species